rnacentral:lncRNA from 1 species
AUGCCUGCAAAGGAAAAGGUGAAACCUGAAGAUACAGCUCCAAGUGACAAGGCUUGCUCUGAGGCUAUGAUAGCUGAUGAAGAAUUAUGUUCCUCUUAAAGGCAAUAAGAAAGGACCUGAAGAAAAAUGAAGACUUAGGUACUCACAAAAGACUACCGCUUGCUUUCUUCCUGCUUCAUUCUGAAUAUUGUCCAAAGAUCAAGAGUGAAUCACCGGGCUUGUCCACUGGGAAUGCAGCAAGGAAAUUGGGUGAGAUGUGGUCUGAGCAGACAGCCCAAGAUAGACCACCAUGUGAAGAGAAGGCAGCUGAACUAAA